CAAGAAAUUCUUCUCAAUUCUCUCUAAUCUCAACAAAGUCAUAUCAACUUUUUACAAAUUAAACAAACAGAGCCUAAUUGCCCCAAGUAAAUGCUAAUGUUUGGACUUCUAUGAUUACUUCAUCUACGACGCAAAAGUUUGAUUUUGAAUUACAUUUAAUAAAAUAUUCUAUUUUAAGAGCUGUUUAGAUGAAAAUUCUUUAUUACUUGAUUGACUUGAAAUUUGGCAUUCAUGAUCUACAUGACUAGAAUAGUAAACCUAAUGUCCAAUAUGCAAAAAUAUGAAUCAUAGAAAAAAUUAAGG
rnacentral:misc_RNA from 1 species